GAAUAUGUGUGCCUCCUGUGCCGAGUGGGGGAACACGUGGGGGAUCAGGACUGGGGUCCAGGCCUUGGAGCCAGGCUUGGGGGGAGGCUGACCCCCACUUACUCUGUCCCCCUCAAAAGCAUCAGCUUUUCUCCAGAAAGUCACCCAAUAUCAAACAGAGAUUUGCCACCCCUAACUGCCUGGCUCCCAAACUCAAACUCUGCCAAGGGCUGGGGUUUGGACCCACAAGGGACUGGGCUCCCCAGGGCCUCAGGAAAAGUAAAUCCCUCUGGACUCUGCGCUCCCUCCAGUGGAGGACCCUAAAAAGCCGCCAGGGAGCUCGAUGCCAGCCAACUCCUAGGUCCCCCUCCCUUCCGGCAGGGAACGCCUUAGAGGGCACCCCUCCUGAGACUGUGGUGGGAACCAGCACAAGCCGGAGCUGCUGCCUGCAGAUUCACAAGGGGCAAGUUUGAAUACGAAUCUGCUGUGUUCCUAUCUGCCAAGUUCCUAUAUGUUUCUGGGGUAAACACUGAGACACGCCAAGAAACAAACACACACAUGCACAACUUCCCUGACCACAAGACUACACACACACACACACACACACACACACACACGUGCAGGCAGGCUCACAAACAGAGCCCAUUGCAAUCACAACACCACACACACACACACACACACACACACACACACACACACACAGUCUUGCUCAACUUCUGAGUCAUCAACAUAACUAGUGGAGGGUUCUGCAGUUUUUGCUGGGGGAGGAGCUGGAGGAGACCAAGGGAUCCAGAGAGGCCUUUACUCCCGGACACCUGAGAGCCCCGGUGUGUGGAAGAGGUGGUGUCUGAGGGGCGGUGGGAGGAAGUUUCUACUCCCCUCCUCCCUCCCAUAGCAGGGGCUGGGCUGAGGGGCCAAAGCUAGGCCUAUGCUGCCCCCUGGUGCCUGAAUUGAUUUCCAGAACCAGCUCCUCCUCCUCCAUCCCUUGCUACCCCGCAGGUCUGUACAUGAGUGCACGUGUGUGGACCCAGCCAGGCAGCAGAGGGUUUGAACACAGCAAAAUAUAGCAGUUAAAAGACUGGACUGUGGAUACAGGCUGCUUGGGUUCAAAUCCUGCUAAUGCUGCUAACCACACAACCCUGAGCAAUUUACUCUGUGAUUCAUUCUCGUCAUCUGUAAAAUGGAGCAAAUAAGUCUUAACCCAUAAUGUGAGAAUAAAAUGCAGUAAAACAUCUGAAGGCUUAGAACAAUGCCUGACACACAGUAACUGUCAGGCACUAUUUUUAUGGUUCAUAAUAAACCAGGUAUGAGGAAAGGAGAAGGGUCUCCAUCCUACAUAGAAGUCCCCAGAUUUGGGGGUCAUGUUACUGCCAAAAGGAUAUUGAGGGUGUAUGUGCGUAUGUGUUUGCU
rnacentral:lncRNA from 1 species